UACGUAGGGGGCAAGCGUUGUCCGGAUUUAUUGGGCGUAAAGAGCGUGUAGGCGGCCAGACAAGUCUGCUGUGAAAACUCGAGGCUCAACCUCGAGACGCCGAUGGAAACCAUCUGACUAGAGUCCGGAAGAGGAGAGUGGAAUUCCUGGUGUAGCGGUGAAAUGCGCAGAUAUCAGGAAGAACACCCGUGGCUAAGGCGGCUCUCUAGUACGUGACUGACGCUGAGGCGCGAAAGCGUGGGGAGCGAACAGG
rnacentral:rRNA from 1 species